AACCUCAUAAGACGAGAAGACCCCAUGGAACUUUAAACUAGUACCACCUCACAACUAAGACCACAUGACUACUAGUCUUUCGGCUGGGGCGACCACGGGGAAAAACAAAACCCCCACGAUGAAAGGAAGUAUCCUUAUCCUAGACCCACCCCUCCAAGAAUCAAUAAAUGACAUUUUUGACCCAACACUUGAUCAACGAACCAAGCUACCCUGGGGAUAACAGCGCAAUCCAUUUCAAGAGACCUCAUCGACAAAU
rnacentral:rRNA from 1 species